rnacentral:rRNA from 1 species
CCUACGGGAGGCAGCAGUGAGGAAUAUUGGUCAAUGGGCGCAAGCCUGAACCAGCCAAGUCGCGUGAGGGAUGACGGUCCUAUGGAUUGUAAACCUCUUUUGUCGGGGAGCAAGGCCCGCCACGUGUGGCGGGAAGGAGAGUACCCGAAGAAAAAGCAUCGGCUAACUCCGUGCCAGCAGCCGCGGUAAUACGGAGGAUGCGAGCGUUAUCCGGAUUUAUUGGGUUUAAAGGGUGCGUAGGCGGAAGGUUAAGUCAGCGGUAAAAUGUCGGUGCUCAACACCGGCCUGCCGUUGAAACUGGUCUUCUUGAGUGAGUGAGAAGUAUGCGGAAUGCGUGGUGGAGCGGUGAAAUGCAUAGAUAUCACGCAGAACUCCGAUUGCGAAGGCAGCAUACCGGCGCUCAACUGACGCUGAGGCACGAAAGCGUUGGGAUCGAACAGGAUUAGAUACCCCAGUAGUC